GAUGAACGCUGGCGGCGUGCGUAACACAUGCAAGUUGAACGACGAUGCCAUGAAGUGGUAACACGGAGUGGUAUACGGAGUAGCGGACGGGUGAGUAAAGCAUGAGAAUCUGUCCUGUCGAGGGGGAUAACGUUCGGAAACGGACCCUAAUACCCCAUAGUCCGAGAGGUUAAAGGCAGAGAUGCGCGAUGGGAGGUACUCGUGUCCUAUCAGCUAGUUGGUGAGGUAACGGCUCACCAAGGCGACAACGGGUAGCCGGCCUGAGAGGGUGACCGGCCACACUGGAACUGAGAUACGGUCCAGACUCCUACGGGAGGCAGCAGUGGGGAAUACUGGGCAAUGGGAGGAAUCCUGACCCAGCGACGCCGCGUGAACGAAGACGGCCUUCGGGUUGUAAGUUCUUUUAUGUGGGAAGAAGGAAGUGACGGUACCACAUGAAUAAGCCCCGGCUAACUACGUGCCAGCAGCCGCGGUAAUACGUAGGGGGCGAGCGUUGUCCGGAAUUACUGGGCGUAAAGGGCACGCAGGCUGUGCUUCAAGUCAGCUGUAAAAGGGUGCGGCUUAACCGUGUUAUGCAGUUGAGACUGAGGUGCUGGAGUACCGGAGAGGCAAGUGGAAUUCCCAGUGUAGCGGUGAAAUGCGUAGAUAUUGGGAAGAACAUCGGUGGCGAAGGCGACUUGCUGGACGGUAACUGACGCUGAGGUGCGAAAGCCAGGGUAGCGAACGGGAUUAGAUACCCCGGUAGUCCUGGCUGUAAACGAUGAAUGCUAGGUGUGCGAGCAGAGAUGUUGGUGUGCCGCAGUUAACGCGAUAAGCAUUCCGCCUGGGGAGUACGGUCGCAAGAUUGAAACUCAAAGGAAUUGACGGGGGCCCGCACAAGCGGUGAGCACGUGGUUUAAUUCGAUGCAAACCGAAGAACCUUACCUGGGUUUGACAUGUAUGUGGUAGGAGCCGGAAACGGUGACGACGCUGCUUUCGGGUAGUGAGCAUGCACAGGUGCU
rnacentral:rRNA from 1 species